rnacentral:rRNA from 1 species
GGGGAAUAUUGCGCAAUGGGGGGAACCCUGACGCAGCCAUGCCGCGUGAAUGAAGAAGGCCUUAGGGUUGUAAAGUUCUUUCGGUAUUGAGGAAGGUUGAUGUGUUAAUAGCACAUCAAAUUGACGUUAAAUACAGAAGAAGCACCGGCUAACUCCGUGCCAGCAGCCGCGGUAAUACGGAGGGUGCGAGCGUUAAUCGGAAUAACUGGGCGUAAAGGGCACGCAGGCGGUUAUUUAAGUGAGGUGUGAAAGCCCUGGGCUUAACCUAGGAAUUGCAUUUCAGACUGGGUAACUAGAGUACUUUAGGGAGGGGUAGAAUUCCACGUGUAGCGGUGAAAUGCGUAGAGAUGUGGAGGAAUACCGAAGGCGAAGGCAGCCCCUUGGGAAUGUACUGACGCUCAUGUGCGAAAGCGUGGGGAGCAACCAGGAUUAGAUACCCUGGUAGUCCACGCUGUAAACGCUGUCGAUUUGGGGGUUGGGGUUUAACUCUGGCGCCCGUAGCUAACGUGAUAAAUCGACCGCCUGGGGAGUACGGCCGCAAGGUUA